GGCUGGUGCAAAGGUAGUGAGUUAUCUCAAUUGAUUGUUCACAAUCAGUUACAGAUUGAACACCUUGUUCUAUUCUUUCUCCCCUUCUCGCUAUUGCACUUGACUAGUCUUAA
rnacentral:Y_RNA from 1 species